AUCCAUAAGCGCCAGGGAACUACGAGCCACGCUUAAAACCCAAAGGAUUUGACGGUGUCCCACCCCCCUAGAGGAGCCUGUUCUAUAAUCGAUGAUCCCCGCUAUACCCCACCACCCCUUGCUCGUCAGUCUGUAUACCUCCGUCGAAAGCUUACCAUGUGAACGUCUAUAGUAAGUUCAAUGACCCAUGCCAAUGCGUCAACACGUCAGGUCAAGGUGCAGCUUAAGAGGUGGAAAGUGAUGGGCUACAAUUUCUAAUUUAGAACAAACGAAAGGCCAUGUGAAAUCCUGGCCACGAAGGCGGAUUUAGUAGUAAAAAGAAAAUAGAGUGUUCUUUUUAACCCGGCUCUGGGACGCGUACACACCGCCCGUCACCCUCUUCAACAGUAUUACCCAAGUUUCUAACCCAUUUUUACAUCUCAGAAGAGGCAAGUCGUAACAUGGUAAGUGUACUGGAAAGUGCACUUGGUAUAACAAAAUGUAGCUUAA
rnacentral:rRNA from 1 species